UUGGUGCUUGCAUCAUGAUUUACAUUUGAGUGAGUGGCGAACUGGUGAGUAACACGUGGGAAACCUGCCCAGAAGCGGGGGAUAACACCUGGAAACAGAUGCUAAUACCGCAUAACAACUUGGACCGCAUGGUCCGAGUUUGAAAGAUGGCUUCGGCUAUCACUUUUGGAUGGUCCCGCGGCGUAUUAGCUAGAUGGUGAGGUAACGGCUCACCAUGGCAAUGAUACGUAGCCGACCUGAGAGGGUAAUCGGCCACAUUGGGACUGAGACACGGCCCAAACUCCUACGGGAGGCAGCAGUAGGGAAUCUUCCACAAUGGACGAAAGUCUGAUGGAGCAACGCCGCGUGAGUGAAGAAGGGUUUCGGCUCGUAAAACUCUGUUGUUAAAGAAGAACAUAUCUGAGAGUAACUGUUCAGGUAUUGACGGUAUUUAACCAGAAAGCCACGGCUAACUACGUGCCAGCAGCCGCGGUAAUACGUAGGUGGCAAGCGUUGUCCGGAUUUAUUGGGCGUAAAGCGAGCGCAGGCGGUUUUUUAAGUCUGAUGUGAAAGCCUUCGGCUCAACCGAAGAAGUGCAUCGGAAACUGGGAAACUUGAGUGCAGAAGAGGACAGUGGAACUCCAUGUGUAGCGGUGAAAUGCGUAGAUAUAUGGAAGAACACCAGUGGCGAAGGCGGCUGUCUGGUCUGUAACUGACGCUGAGGCUCGAAAGUAUGGGUAGCAAACAGGAUUAGAUACCCUGGUAGUCCAUACCGUAAACGAUGAAUGCUAAGUGUUGGAAGGGUUUCCGCCCUUCAGUGCUGCAGCUAACGCAUUAAGCAUUCCGCCUGGGGGAGUACGGCCGCAAGGCUGAAACUCAAAGGAAUUGACGGGGGCCCGCACAAGCGGUGGAAGCAUGUGGUUUAAUUCGAAGCUACGCGAAGAACCUUACCAGGUCUUGACAUACUAUGCAAAUCUAAGAAGAUUAGACGUUCCCUUCGGGGACAUGGAUACAGGUGGGGGCAGGGUUGUCCUCAGCUCCUGUCCUGAAAAAGUUUGGGGUUAAUUCCCCCCACCAAGCGCACCCCUUAUUAUCAGUUGCCAGCAUUAAAUUGGGGACUCUGGUGAGACUGCCGGUGACAACCCGAGGAAAGGGGGGGGGUGAGGGUCCA
rnacentral:rRNA from 2 species